GUGACGGGCACCCUCUACCGGGGAUGACACAUUCCCAGAGCUCCUGGGACCAAGAAAAUGGCGGACACAAUUCCCUGGGCGGAAGGGGACUUCGGGAGCCAGGAGCCAAGAUGGCCCCAGUGCACCCCUGGAGGCUCCUGAGCCUCGGAAGCCGGUGACAGCCCAGGAGCGCCAGCGGGAGCGGGAGGAGAAGCGGCGGAGGCGGCAAGAACGAGCCAAGGAGCGGGAGAAACGGCGGCAGGAGCGGGAGCGAAAGGAACGGGGGGCUGGGGCCUCUGGGGGCCCCUCCACUGACCCCUUGGCUGGACUAGUGCUCAGUGACAAUGACAGAAGCCUGUUGGAACGCUGGACUCGAAUGGCCCGGCCCGCAGCCCCAGCCCCCACCUCUGUGCCGGCCCCUGCCCCAGCGCCAACGCCA
rnacentral:sRNA from 1 species